CCCAGUGAACAAUUAAACGGCCGCGGUACCCUAACCGUGCAAAGGUAGCAUAAUCAUUUGUCUACUAAUUAUAGACCUGUAUGAAAGGCAAAAUGAGGAUCUAACUGUCUCUUAUAAUGAAUCAAUUAAACUGAUCUCCUAGUAAAAAAGCUAGGAUUCCCUCAUAAGACCAGAAGACCCUGUGAAGCUUAAACUAAAUUAUUAAACCCUAUAAUAACCACUUUCGGUUGGGGCGACCUUGGAAAAAAAAAGAACUUCCAACAAACCAUGACUACCACACUACCAUACUUAGGCCUACAAGCCAAUAAAUGACCCAGUAUAGCUGAUCACCGAACCAAGUUACUCCAGGGAUAACAGCGCAAUCCUCUUCAAGAGCCCAUAUCAAAAAGAGGGUUUACGACCUCGAUGUUGGAUCAGGACAUCCUAA
rnacentral:rRNA from 1 species